AUACGGAGGGUGCAAGCGUUAAUCGGAAUUACUGGGCGUAAAGCGUGCGUAGGUGGUUUGUUAAGUUAGAUGUGAAAGCCCCGGGCUCAACCUGGGAACUGCAUUUGAAACUGGCAUACUAGAGUAUAGGAGAGGAAAGUGGAAUUUCAGGUGUAGCGGUGAAAUGCGUAGAUAUCUGAAGGAACAUCAAUGGCGAAGGCAGCUUUCUGGACUAAUACUGACACUGAGGUACGAAAGCGUGGGUAGCAAACAGGAUUAGAUACCCUUGUAGUCC
rnacentral:rRNA from 1 species